rnacentral:rRNA from 1 species
GAUGAACCCCUUAUAGAGGCUUAACACAUGCAAGUCGAGGGGCAGCAUGGUCUUUGCUUGCUAAGGCCGAUGGCGACCGGCGCACGGGUGAGUAACACGUAUCCAACCUGCCGUCUACUCUUGGACAGCCUUCUGAAAGGAAGAUUAAUACAAGAUGGCAUCAUGAGUCCACAUGUUCACAUGAUUAAAGGUAUUCCGGUAGACGAUGGGGAUGCGUUCCAUUAGAUAGUAGGCGGGGUAACGGCCCACCUAGUCUUCGAUGGAUAGGGGUUCUGAGAGGAAGGUCCCCCACAUUGGAACUGAGACACGGUCCAAACUCCUACGGGAGGCAGCAGUGAGGAAUAUUGGUCAAUGGGCGAGAGCCUGAACCAGCCAAGUAGCGUGAAGGAUGACUGCCCUAUGGGUUGUAAACUUCUUUUAUAAAGGAAUAAAGUCGGGUAUGCAUACCCGUUUGCAUGUACUUUAUGAAUAAGGAUCGGCUAACUCCGUGCCAGCAGCCGCGGUAAUACGGAGGAUCCGAGCGUUAUCCGGAUUUAUUGGGUUUAAAGGGAGCGUAGAUGGAUGUUUAAGUCAGUUGUGAAAGUUUGCGGCUCAACCGUAAAAUUGCAGUUGAUACUGGAUAUCUUGAGUGCAGUUGAGGCAGGCGGAAUUCGUGGUGUAGCGGUGAAAUGCUUAGAUAUCACGAAGAACUCCGAUUGCGAAGGCAGCCUGCUAAGCUGCAACUGACAUUGAGGCUCGAAAGUGUGGGUACCAAACAGGAUUAGAUACCCUGGUAGUCCACACGGUAAACGAUGAAUACUCGCUGUUUGCGAUAUACAGCAAGCGGCCAAGCGAAAGCGUUAAGUAUUCCACCUGGGGAGUACGCCGGCAACGGUGAAACUCAAAGGAAUUGACGGGGGCCCGCACAAGCGGAGGAACAUGUGGUUUAAUUCGAUGAUACGCGAGGAACCUUACCCGGGCUUAAAUUGCAGAUGAAUUACGGUGAAAGCCGUAAGCCGCAAGGCAUCUGUGAAGGUGCUGCAUGGUUGUCGUCAGCUCGUGCCGUGAGGUGUCGGCUUAAGUGCCAUAACGAGCGCAACCCUUGUUGUCAGUUACUAACAGGUCAUGCUGAGGACACUGACAAGACUGCCAUCGUAAGAUGUGAGGAAGGUGGGGAUGACGUCAAAUCAGCACGGCCCUUACGUCCGGGGCUACACACGUGUUACAAUGGGGGGUACAGAGGGCCGCUACCACGCGAGUGGAUGCCAAUCCCAAAAACCUCUCUCAGUUCGGACUGGAGUCUGCAACCCGACUCCACGAAGCUGGAUUCGCUAGUAAUCGCGCAUCAGCCACGGCGCGGUGAAUACGUUCCCGGGCCUUGUACACACCGCCCGUCAAGCCAUGGGAGCCGGGGGUACCUGAAGUGCGUAACAGCGAGGAGCGCCCUAGGGUAAAACUGGUGACUGGGGCUAA